rnacentral:rRNA from 1 species
CCUACGGGAGGCAGCAGUGGGGAAUUUUGGACAAUGGGCGAAAGCCUGAUCCAGCAAUGCCGCGUGAGUGAAGAAGGCCUUCGGGUUGUAAAGCUCUUUUGUCAGGGAAGAAACGGUGAGGGCUAAUAUCCCUUGCUAAUGACGGUACCUGAAGAAUAAGCACCGGCUAACUACGUGCCAGCAGCCGCGGUAAUACGUAGGGUGCAAGCGUUAAUCGGAAUUACUGGGCGUAAAGCGUGCGCAGGCGGUUUUGUAAGUCUGUCGUGAAAUCCCCGGGCUCAACCUGGGAAUUGCGAUGGAGACUGCAAGGCUAGAAUCUGGCAGAGGGGGGUAGAAUUCCACGUGUAGCAGUGAAAUGCGUAGAGAUGUGGAGGAACACCGAUGGCGAAGGCAGCCCCCUGGGUCAAGAUUGACGCUCAUGCACGAAAGCGUGGGGAGCAAACAGGAUUAGAUACCCUGGUAGUCCACGCCCUAAACGAUGUCUACUAGUUGUCGGGUUUUAAUUAACUUGGUAACGCAGCUAACGCGUGAAGUAGACCGCCUGGGGAGUACGGUCGCAAGAUUAAAACCUUAAUGAAUUGACCGGNUGAGACGNGCGACGACGACGACGAGGAGGAGG